GAAUAACCCAGGUGAUCCAGCAUCCAGAACAGCUUCAAGGCUGCUGGCUGAGAUGAUCCAGCCUCACAAAAUACUAUAGUCAAGACUUAAUUAUUGUCCCAGCCAGAGGGAUCUUCAGCAGAGACCCUAAAAGGGGGAAUAGUGAAUGAAAGGGACAAGAGAUACAAAGAAUUGACAACAAUACAUUAUUCUGAUCAAGCUGCAAAAUUUUGUUUUUCUCAGCUACUGAGCACAGACUUCUAUCAAAGCCUGGAAUAAACCUAGAGCCAACUUCCUGCUUCCAGUUACACUCCCAUCCGGGAAGUAAGAAAUUCUUAAAUCGUAUCACAUGGCUAACUCUUCCCUCCUUGGAGCUACUCAGGAUCUGCGAGGCAAAUGCAAAGCUCUCCAUGGAGCCCCUGCUGGGGCACUGGCUUUUGUCCUUUACCCUUUUCCCCUCCUGACAGCCUCUGUGCCAUGCGAAUUUGGAGCAUGCAGAAGUUGGUGAUCCUUUCAUGCUGAUCAGUCUUCUGACGGUGACCCUGGAGACUGGAAAAGCUAGCGUGUCAAAUUAAAACAGUUCAGAAAGGUA